GUGCAUUUGUCACCAUGAUUAUUUCCUAUCUCUUGGUUCAAACAUAAAUCAUAAACCACUUCCACCCAUAUUUCACUCUGCUUUCCACAAUCAUAACCAGGACUGUCAGUCUUUUAACCAGCUCCUCUCAGGUUGUAAUUUCAGUUUGUCUGCUGCCGUACCACAUCUUCAAACCCAUCUUCCUGUCUCGGACCCAUGACCUACGUCAGCUGACAUAUUCACCUGGUCCCAACACCUGCAGCCACUGUCAUCCACUCUCUUCCUUGAUCGAGCUGAAGAACUGCCUGUUUCUUCUGGCUGCACUGAGAGGUUCAACGGACCCUCUGAUGUACUUCCUGUUAGACAAGACCUUCCGUCAUCAAACCCUCAGACUUUUUGGGUAUGACCAGAACAACGCUGGAAACCAACAGACGUGUUCGCAAACAGGAAGUACCACUAAGAGGACUGGGCAGCUGCAGGAUGGAAAUGUGGCCACCGCUACCGCAGACACAAGUCAAGGAAGUGUUUUGUAGGCGGCAAAUGUUUCUUUUAAAAGCAGCCUGAAAAUGUAUAGUGUUCAGAAAUAUAUGAAUCGCAGUGUCUUCUUGUGAUGUCACUCUGUCUUUUACAAAACCCAAAAUAAAAAAAUGAAACAAUC